GAUUGUGAUAGGUAUUUUUGUUCUUAUCAAUGUUAUCAGCUUAGCAACAUGCUAACAUACUGUAGGUUUGGAACAUCAUUCAUUACAACAGCUCACCAUGCGGAUAAAUCCCAUUAUGAGAGCGGAAAACCCUCAAUCCAUAUCCUCAGAGAGACUGACCCCGACACCAGAACUGGAGGACACACCCUGCUCUUUUCCACUGGGCGACACUUCUCUUGAACAGCGUCAGAGAGGCUCCAGUGUGCAAACCAACAGCAGCGACUGACAGACAUGUCUUCUGUUCUGUGGCUUUGAUGAGGUUAUCUCAGAACCUGACCGCAUUUUCCCGACUCUCAGCUCUGACAUAUGACAGACAAUAAGACGUCCUGUGAGGAACAAGAGUCUGGUAAACGAUGGUAAACGACUCGUUCGUUUCUCAAAGCGUUGAUUAAAAAUCCUGCUAACUGAUCUAAACAGAUCUUGAAAAUGUUUAAAUCUUAUUUUUUUUUAAAAAAGGUUUAAUACAGCAUUUUAAAAGUUACUGAAUUAGUCUACUGU